CUUUAGCCUUACAAAGGACGAGUCCAAAAGGCCAAAGUAUAAAGAGCUUCUGAAACAUCCCUUCAUCCUGAUGUAUGAGGAACGCACAGUGGAUGUUGCAUGCUAUGUUUGUAAAAUCCUGGAUCAAAUGCCAGCAACUCCCAGCUCUCCAAUGUACGUUGAUUGAUAAUGCUGCUACAUCAAACUCUAGAAAAAAAGGGCUGAGAGAAAAAGAAGCUGUAAAGAAUUUUCAUCACAUAUUGCAGUGUUUUUAAUGCUCGCCCAGACACCAUGUGCAAUAAUAUUGGUGUUAUUUCCAUCCUGUCUGUAUACUGUUGUCACAUAUAAAGUGCAUCCCUGUAAUACCUGAUCACACAGUGUUAGUGUUGGUCAAAGAGAGACCUCAUCUUGCUCUUUUGUGGACAUAUUCAUGAAAUGUGGAAAUAAGUACAUUUAUUUGUUGACCGUGAUUGGAUAGCACCUAAAAUUCAUUUCUAGGCUCAAAAUUUGGAGACUUCUCCGCAGCUACUGGAAAUAUUUUUCUUUCAAACUCUUCCAAUUGUUGUUUCAAGUAAUAAUAAAAAAGCAAACAAACAAAAGUUAGGCGUUGUCUGUCUGAACAUUAAGAGAUUUUGCCUGGAGGGAGAAGAACUUGCUUAACGGAUGAGAUGCUUUGCCUCCUGGAGCUAUGAAGGCAAAGGAGAAUUUUAUUCUUCACAAAGUGCAAUAGAUGUACUGCUAUGAAAUUCUGUUGCUUUACAGUCACAGUGUACUUUCUGAGGACAGAGUGCUCAGCUGAACUUCCUGCUAAAGAGAGAUCAUGUUAAAUAUAGUGAAUAUGUCUUUACCCAAAAUACGUUGCAUUGAACAAGGCUGAUAUUAAAAUAUUCAGAGAUGGGACGUAAUGUAUUCUUUCUCCUUUUACCAAGCCAGCCACUCUUCACUCUUAACUAGGUGUCCUGUAAAUUGUUACCUGGUAAGAUAAGACCUUUGACCUGAAGAAUUAUUAAACUACUCGAUUGAAUUUAA